GAAUGAAGCAAUAAGGAGUAGGGAGUGCUGAUUCUGGAGAAGGGAGAACUGCAGAGGAGAGCUGCUAAUCAAUCGGCAGCCACUUUCCCCUGGAGGAUCCUCAUCCUGCAAGCCCAAGAGGAGAGUCAUUUCCUUCAAGGGCCUCCUAUCGAAAGCAGCUCUCCUCCUUUAUUCUCUGUCACAAAUGGCUGAUGGCAUGCACUGGAGAUUGUUGACGUUUGGCUUUCGUUGCACCUCUGAACUAAUCUUCUGCAGACAAAGGCUACCAGAGAGAAACGACCUCAGCAACAGCUCCAGAGGAGCCAGGCGAUCCUGGUGGCUGGUUGCAAGGAUGAAGGUCCCAAGGGAGAGAGCAUCAGACAGAAGCUUUAUUGCUUUUUAUAAUCUAGCCUUUGAAGAGAAGCCUUCUGUGGCAUUAUACUUACUGAAGCAGUCAUGGAGUCCACGCUCCCUCUCCCUGCCGAUCUCAGGGGAGGGGAAAUAGAUUCUGCCACAUCAUGGGGAGUGGAAAGUUUGUGGAAGAACACAUAAAACUGGAAGUAGAGCUGUUGCUAUUUUUGGAAAAUACAAUCACCUUUGUAUGUCAGAUACUUUGCUAGGUCCUGGGGAUUACUAGUGAAAGCCAUGUUUCCUGACCUCUAAACCAGAGAAAGGAUACACGAAGAGUGGGUGAACAGGCAAUCACACCAACAAUUUUAAGUUCUAGGGCAGUUGAAUAAACCAGGGUGCUUUGGAAAACAUAAGAAAACAUCAUAACCAAACUUUGGAGCUCAAAAAAGCUUUCACAGGAAAAAAUUGCUACAGAAUCUUAAGCAAAAACUCACCUGCAUUUGUGAAAAUACAGGUGUGGGUCUGUGGGAAUCCCACUUAGCACAGGCCA